UACCCGUACCGCAAACCGACACAGGUGGGUGAGGAGAGUAUCCUAAGGCCAGCGAGAGAACUGUUGUUAAGGAACUCGGCAAAAUGACCCCGUAACUUAGGGAUAAGGGGUGCCACCAUCAGGUGGCAGCAGAGAAUAGGCCCAAGCGACUGUUUACCAAAAACAUAGGUUUCUGCUAAGUCGCAAGACGAUGUAUAGGAGCUGACGCCUGCCCGGUGCUGGAAGGUUAAGGGGAUCUGUUAGAG
rnacentral:rRNA from 1 species